UGCUGGAGGUCACCAAGUUGGAAGGAGUUUGCCAUUCUCCAGAAGAUGUUAUAAUGCCAAGAGAUAUGUUCCUACUGCAAGUGGAGUAGAUAAAGAAAUGGAUGAUGAAGGCGAUGAAGAACUAGAUGAAUGUUCUAGGAAUCUUUUAUUACCAACAUUUUUGAAACUUAUUUACUCUCUUGAAAUGUACUAAACUUAUGCACUCAUGGGGUAGAACAUUUGCUUUAUGGAUAUUAUUUGCUUGAUGGAUAAUUUUGUAUUAUUAGUAGUUUCAUUUUAUGAUGUAUUUAAAUUUUAGUGUUA